GGGCUGGUGUGUCCUGAUAUUGGUCUGCUAGUGGGCGGGGACGGGGCCCUGUUGAUUCCAUGACUCUGGUGGCGCCUCCUGGUGUGUGAGGCUCUGCUAGAGGCUGGUGCAGUCCUCCUGGUGGGAGGGGCCUGUGCCCCUGCACUCAUAGGUGGAGCUGGGUCUUGGCCACAGGCCCUCUCUAGGGGCGUGUCCGGAGGCGGCAUGUCCUAGUCUAUAGACAGCCUGUGUCCUGAUGGGUGGGGCUGUGUCCCCUCCCAGCUAGGUGUUUGUCCUGAGGCAUCCCAGCAAGCUUCCCAGGUGGCUCAGUGGUGAAGAACCCACCUGCCAGUGCAGGAGACACAGCUUCGAUUCCUGGGUCAGGAAGAUCCCCCGGAGGAGGGCAUGGCAGCCCACUCCAGUAUUCUUGCCUGGAGAAUCCCGUGGACAGAGGAGCCUGGUGGGGUUCGGUCAGUCCACGGGUUGCAAAGAGUUGCACAGGACCUAGCAAGUGAGCACGCUCGCACGCCUUCCUGUGCCGGAGCUCACGCGUCAGAGCUCGCAGGCUGUUGGUGGAGCCGGAUCUUGAUGCUAAUGAGGCAAUCGCUCAGCGGCCGGGACUGUUUACAGUGAAUCUUCCUCGGUAUGUCCACUCCCGCGUCUCCGUCCCCAGGGUGAGCAGCAGCAGCAGGCGUUCCUCCUCACCCCUCCGCCGUCCCCACCUUCCCAGGAGACGCCCCAAGACCAGCAGAUGGUUGUGAUUUUGGUGUGGUCAUGCUGGGAGGUGAGCUCAGGCCAUUCUACUCUGCCCUCAGCUGAUUUGAGGAAUUCUGGAUCUCAAUGAAGAGUGUUGAAGUUCUCAAGUUAGCCUGAGGUGGAUUCCACUGGAGCAUGAAUGCAGAUCGAGUUUUUACUAUUUCUUUCUCUCUGAAGCUUUGCCGGAUUUCUAAUGCCAGGUGUUGCAUCUUGUCAAUAGGAUUUACAGAAUUUGAUGGCUUUGGACUGCUUAUCACUAGCUUUAUAUUUCUCGCCCCCAUUUUGCAGAGUGAGAGUACCUACUUUGGUAUUGAGCUUGACUUGUGACUUCAGACAGAUCUGUGUGCAUUUCUAUCAUAAAACCUCACUUAACUUAAAGGAACUGUUCACUUACAAGGAUUGGCAAGUGGCAAAUCAAAUACUUUGAAAAGGAUAAAUGUUGAAUGUUACACUUUUGUUGAUGUUUUAGCCCCAGUAUGUUUAUUGAUCUUUUCCAAUAAAUUGAUACUAUUUGCA
ensembl:lncRNA